AGUGAACGCUGGCGGUAGGCCUAACACAUGCAAGUCGAACGGCAGCACAGUAAGAGCUUGCUCUUACGGGUGGCGAGUGGCGGACGGGUGAGGAAUACAUCGGAAUCUACUUUUUCGUGGGGGAUAACGUAGGGAAACUUACGCUAAUACCGCAUACGACCUACGGGUGAAAGCAGGGGAUCUUCGGACCUUGCGCGAUUGAAUGAGCCGAUGUCGGAUUAGCUAGUUGGCGGGGUAAAGGCCCACCAAGGCGACGAUCCGUAGCUGGUCUGAGAGGAUGAUCCCCCACCUGGGAACUGAGACCCGGCCCAGGCGCCCAGGGGGGGCAGGUGGGGGAAAUUUGGGAAAAGGGGCGCAACCCUGAUCCACCCAAACCGCGGGGGUGAAGAAGGCCUGCGGGUUGUAAAGCCCUUUUUUUGGGAAAAAAAAGCAGCAGUUUUAACCCCCGCUGUUUUGCCGGUACCAAAAGAAAAAGCACGGGCGAACUUCUU
rnacentral:rRNA from 1 species